rnacentral:rRNA from 1 species
CUUGAACGUUGGCGGCAGGCUUAACACAUGCAAGUCGAACGAGUGGCGGACGGGUGAGUAAUGCUUGGGAAUCUGGCUUAUGGAGGGGGAUAACGACGGGAAACUGUCGCUAAUACCGCGUACCAUAGGAUGAGCCCAAGUGGGCUUAGGUAGUUGGUGGGGUAAUGGCCUACCAAGCCGAAGAUCUCUAGCUGGUCUGAGAGGCUGACCAGCCAAACCGGGACUGAGACACGGCCCGGACUCCUACGUGAGGCAGCAGUGGGGAAUAUUGCACAAUGGGCGCAAGCCUGAUGCAGCCAUGCCGCGUGUAUGAAGAAGGCCUUCGGGUUGUAAAGUACUUUCAGCGGGGAGGCGUUACCCGCAGAAGAAGCACCGGCUAACUCCGUGCCAGCAGCCGCGGUAAUAC